rnacentral:rRNA from 1 species
GAUGAACGCUAGCGACAGGCUUAAUACAUGCAAGUCGAGGGGCAGCACAGGUAGCAAUACUGGGUGGCGACCGGCAAACGGGUGCGGAACACGUACACAACUUACCUUAGAGUGGGGGAUAGCCCAGGGAAGCUUGGAUUAAUAUCCAAUAAAACAGGGGGCCCGCAUGGGCAUAUUGUUAAAGAUUUAUCGCUAUAAGAUGGGUGUGCGUAUGAUUAGGUAGUUGGUAGGGUAAAGGCCUACCAAGCCGACGAUCAUUAACUGGUGUGAGAGCACGACCAGUCACACGGGCACUGAGACACGGGCCCGACUCCUACGGGAGGCAGCAGUAAGGAAUAUUGGUCAAUGGACGGAAGUCUGAACCAGCCAUGCCGCGUGAAGGAUGAAGGUCCUCUGGAUUGUAAACUUCUUUUAUAGGGGGCGAAAAAGGGCCAUUCUUGGUCAACUGACGGUACCCUAUGAAUAAGCACCGGCUAACUCCGUGCCAGCCGCCGCAGUAACAC